rnacentral:rRNA from 1 species
CCUACGGGUGGCAGCAGUGGGGAAUAUUGCACAAUGGGGGCAACCCUGAUGCAGCGACGCCGCGUGGAUGAAGAAGCCCCUCUGCGCGUAAAGCCCUUUCAGCAGGGAAGAAAAUGACGGUACCUGCAUAAGACUCCCCGGCUCCCUCCGUGCCAGCCGCCGCGGUAAUACGUAGGGGGCAAGCGUUAUCCGGAUUUUCUGGGUGUAAAGGGGGCGCCGACGGCGAUGCAAGUCAGGGGUGAAAGCCCGGGGCUCAACCCCGGGACUGCUGUUGAAACUGCGGGGCUGGAGUGUAGGUGGGGCAGGCGGAAUUUCUGGUGUAGCGGGGAAAUGCGUAGAUAUCAGGCGGAACACCGGUGGCGAAGGCGGCCUGCUGGACUGCAACUGACGUUGAGGCACGAAAGCGUGGGGAGCAAACAGGAUUAGAUACCCGAGUAGUC